rnacentral:misc_RNA from 1 species
GAUGAAGAACGCAGCGAAAUGCGAUAACUAAUGUGAAUUGCAGAAUUCCGUGAAUCAUUGAGUCUUUGAACGCACAUUGCGCCCCUUGGUAUCCCGAGGGGCAUGCCUGUUCGAGCGUCAUUUCACCACUCAAGCCUGGCUUGGUGUUGGGCGACGUCCUCUUUGGGGACGCGCCUCGAAACGCUCGGCGGCGUGGCACCGGCUUUAAGCGUAGCAGAAUCUUUCGCUUUGGAAGUCGGGGCCCCGUCUGCCGGAAGACCUGCUCGCAAGGUUGACCUCGGAUCAGGCAGGGAUACCCGCUGAACUUAAGCAUAUCAAUAAGCGGAGGA